rnacentral:lncRNA from 1 species
GUCACAGGAAGAGCUGGAAGAAGGAAUUCCUUUGCCAUUUCAAAGUUGCUGUCUGGAAGAAAAUAUAGCUGAGCUGAUGGAGCAAGAUGAAAUGCAGUUUUCUACUUCUGAUCUUUUUUCACUCUCUUUUUUUAAACCAUAAUUUCUAUUUGCAUAAGCAUUUUCCAUGGCACAGCAAAAUCAGAGGCCCUUAGAGCAGGGAAGUCUCCUAUAUUGUAAUGGUAGUUCUAAAAUGUAUGUAAAUACUACUAGGGAAUUGAAUAAAAUGCCUUCCCUGCAAAGCAUCUCAUCAAAUUUGGAAAACAGCAUAGGCUCCGUGGUAGACAGCAUUUCCACAUGUAACCCCUACAGCAAGAACUAAAUGCUAAGGAAUGGGUUUCACUGCAGCCAGAGCACACAGGAAGGGAAAGUCAAUACUGAAACACCAUAGAAGACCUUAAAAUCUUUCCUCUUCCCUAUAUUAGGGGUCACAGGAGCCUCCUGUCCCUUCAGACCAUAUGCCUGAGCUAAUUCUCACAGUAAAAAUUACUCACACACUCUUUUCUUGUUAAAAGAGUCUAGGAACUUGUGGAAAUGCUUCUGGUGUUGCUAUCUGAAUCUCACAUACACUUCAAGCACUGAGCAGAAAGCAGCCUAUGAGGGCUCAGUGCAUUCUAUUUAUUUCCCCUUCAGCAAAACUAGCAUGGGAGACAGAGCAGGGGAAGAGAGAUAAUUCUGCAGAUCACACCCCUUCUUCCAACUUUGUGUGUUUUACUUACUUUCUGUAAAUGUAAAACCUAUUACCAGGCUUGGGAGCAAAGACAAAACUGAAGUCUCCUAUCUCUGAUGUCAAAGCAAUUAGGCUAGGGAAUCAUGUUUCCCUUUGUGUACUGCCAAAAUCAUGCAUUCCUGUGGGCUGGCUUCAGCAGAGAAGGCAAAGAGGGCUUUAUUCUCUGCUCUUUCCUAUCCCAAAGGUUGGGGUUAUCCCUUAAGAGUCUGUGGCUGCUGCUGGCAUUGCCAGGCUGAGGAGGGUCUUUCAGCCAGGUGCUGCUCUUCUGAGGCAUUGCUUAUUCCUUGGGUCAUGUACCUGAAGUGGGAGUGCAAGAAGGAAAUGAAGGUCAAAAUCAACAAAACUAGCUGAAUUUUCUCCUGCUUUGUUUCACCUCCACCUUUUCAUGGCAUAGAUCACAGGAAGAUUCUUGGAUU